UGUGUUGGCUCCCACUAAUGUUAGUGGGAGUAGGUAGUCAUUUAAAAUGUAUUGAAAAGCAGUGAAUUUUCCUUUCCACAUGUAUGUUGGUUUGCAUUUCUUGUCCUGUUAUACCCUACUAUAAAACCAAUUAAUUAAUUCUUGUAGAAGUAUGGGUAGGUCUCAGUUCUGGCUGUAACUCUGGAAUUGUUUAUCAAUUGAACUUCACAUAGUAAGAAGGAUUUAAAAUACCAAUUUUUUCAACUAUUUAACAAAAUUGUGAUUAGGUAGUUGUGAUUUAGUGACUUAUGAAUUUAGUUUGCCUUCCCCUUUAAAUCUCUCCUCCACCUCUAUAGAGGAAAAUCAAUCUGCAAGAUAAUGAGAAAAGCAGUCCCAACUUUUUUCAGUGGGUUUUUUUUUUUUUUUUUAACCAUUAGCUUUGGCUAGGGACAGCCUGGAUAUUCAAUAAUAAUUUAUAGAUGGAAAACUGAUACAGAACUACUGUUAUAAAAGAAAACGUGUGCAAUAAGAAUUCAAAACUUCACUGAUCUGAAGAAACACAAUUCUGUAUACUGACAUGGCCUCAUUUGAUUACCACUAAAAAACAAGCAAACAUUUGACCACAAUUAAAGUCUAAAGAAUGGCCUCGGAGUUACUUGUCAUUAUCCAAAGCCAGAUACAGUACAUUUAUUGCACUAACCUUCUGUCUGAGUUGAUGUUCUUCCUCAAGGGCACAAAAGUGGCAAGAUACGAAGAGGAUAUUCCAAGUCACAGAUCGCCUAUAUUUAAUCCCAAACCAUCGUUUGGGUGAGUGAAAUAGAUUUAUAUCUUAGAGGCCUUUUAUUUAAAACAUCCUCUUGAUUCCAACAUUGCACAUUCAUUUGCAAAAAAAUAUUCUCUAAUUUCCCAGUCACAAGCUUUGUGGGAUGUUUAUAACAGGAUUGAGGUUGAUGCACUUAGGUCAAGACAUAGUUCUAUUAAUUUUCAACCACGUGAUUAGUAUAAACAGAUACGUUCAAAAUAUGUUUUUCAUUUCUCUAUUGAGCUUAUUUGUAUUAGGGUACACAGAAAUCAUCUCAGAAUUCCUGGAGAAUCAAAUGAAAUGGCAAGAACUGAUGCUUUCAUUGCCAAUUUAAGGCAAUACAAGUCCAAGAAUCCCAGCAAAAUGUUUUCAAUGUACUUGAAUGGGGGGAAAAAAAUCAUGCUGAAAAGAGAUUUUGAAAUAUGCCUGUUCAUACGUCAUGCUUCAAUCUAAGAAUCAUUUGCCUCGGCUUUAAAGGGUUAGUUCACCCAAAAAUGAAAUUUGUGUCAUUAAUUACUCACCCUCAUGUCGUUCAACACUUAUAAGACCUUCGUUCAUCUUCGGAACACAAAUUAAGAUAUUUUUGAUGAAAUCCGAAAUGUAUGACUGGUCCAUAGCAAUAUAAUCACCACUUUCAAGGUCCAGAAAGGUAAUAAAGACAUUUUUAAAACAGUAGACGUGACUGCAGUGCUUCAACUUUAAUUUUAUGAACCAAGAAUACUUUUUGUGUGCCAAAACAAAAAUAACGACUUUAUUCAACAAUCUCUUCUCUUCCCUGUCAUCCUCCUUACGCAGGUGAUGCAGUAACAGUGAAGGCUUCCGUGUUUAUCACAACGCAUGCGUGUGAUGCUGACGCAGGAGCCGGCCAAUAAUGAGUCGGCAUUUUGAUGUAGAACCUGGAAGCGCUGGACUCAAACAACGUAUAAGAAUGACACAGAAGAAAAGAUAUUGUUGAAUAAAGUCAUUAUUUUUGUUUUGCGCACAACAAGUAUUCUCGUCGCUUCGUAAAUUUAAGGUUGAACCACUGCAGUCUCGUUGAAUGUUUUAACAAUGUCUUUAGUACCUUUCUAGACCUUGAAAGUGUUGAUUAUAUUGCGGUCUAUGGAGGAGUUAGAUACCUCUCCGAUUUCAUCAAAAAUAUCUUAAUUUGUGUUCCGGAGGUCUUACGGGUGUGAAACGACACAAAGGUGCGUGAUUAAUGACAUAAUUUUCAUUUUUGGGUGAACUAACACUUUAAAGUCAAGAAAAUUUCAGCAAUAUGGACAUUUUCAUUUUCUUAAAUGUCAAGUUAAAUGCAAUGCAACUCUCCAAUUUCCAUGCAUCUUGUGCAAAUGCAAGUCAAGACAUUCCUAUAAAUGAUUACUGAGAAAAGCAAUAAGUACGCAGAAAAUAAAGUAAAUAAACAAAUGAAUAUUUCAUGAUAAAUUAUUUUAUACAUGGAUGUGCACAUAUAAACUAACAUAGACGGUGUAGACAAAGGCUAAUCAGAAAAGAGAUGUCCUAAAGAUUGCAAGUGAGAUAGGAAGAGUGUAAAAGAGAGAGGAGAAAGAGUAGGUGUCUCAGUGCACACUUUCUAAAGCACUCUCAGUGUCAGCAAGAGACUCCAACCAAUCAGAACAUCCCCCAUAAACCCUGUGCUGGAAAGUCCGACGCAAUGUCACAUUCUCAUUCACUUUUUCUGGUCGAAAAACAUACCUGUUAAAAACAGACAUACACUUUGUUUUGUGCAGUUUUUACAUGUAUGUACAUUUUGUAAAAGAAUCUUAACAGUGUCCAUUCAUGCAACCCACAGUAUAUAGCAUUGUGUAUCAUUUGAUGUAAUGUUUUACAUCUAUAUGUUAAACAGCUAAAUUCAUAAGCUCCAAUUCAAUAAAGAAAGAAAU